rnacentral:rRNA from 2 species
GUGUUCCACGCUGUCGGUUCGCCGCCCGUCGGUGUUAACUGGCAUGUCCUGUGGAACGUCCUGCCGGUGGCGGUCCGGGCUCUCGGCUUGCGUAAAGGCUCGCGCCCGAAGCAGGUCGAACAGUUCCGGCCGCCGGUCCAAUCCCGCCACGGUGCUCUUUACCGAGUGUCGAGGUGGGCCGGCACGUUUACUUUGAACAAAUUAGAGUGCUUAAAGCAGGCUGGUGUCCGCCUGAAUACUGUGUGCAUGGAAUAAUGGAAUAGGACCUCGGUUCUAUUUUGUUGGUUUUCGGAACCCGAGGUAAUGAUUAAUAGGGACAGGCGGGGGCAUUCGUAUUGCGACGUUAGAGGUGAAAUUCUUGGAUCGUCGCAAGACGAACCUAAGCGAAAGCAUUUGCCAAGUAUGUUCUCGUUAAUCAAGAACGAAAGUUAGAGGUUCGAAGGCGAUCAGAUACCGCCCUAGUUCUAACCAUAAACGAUGCCAGCCAGCGAUCCGCCGAAGUUCCUCCGAUGACUCGGCGGGCAGCUUCCGGGAAACCAAAGCUUUUGGGUUCCGGGGGAAGUAUGGUUGCAAAGCUGAAACUUAAAGGAAUUGACGGAAGGGCACCACCAGGAGUGGAGCCUGCGGCUUAAUUUGACUCAACACGGGAAACCUCACCAGGCCCGGACACCGGAAGGAUUGACAGAUUGAGAGCUCUUUCUUGAUUCGGUGGGUGGUGGUGCAUGGCCGUUCUUAGUUGGUGGAGCGAUUUGUCUGGUUAAUUCCGAUAACGAACGAGACUCUAGCCUGCUAACUAGGCGAUUUCCGGUACCCACAACAGUGUUACCGGCGAUUCAAUUUCUUCUUAGAGGGACAGGCGGCUCCUAGCCGCACGAGACUGAGCAAUAACAGGUCUGUGAUGCCCUUAGAUGUCCUGGGCCGCACGCGCGCUACACUGAAGGAAUCAGCGUGUCAUCCCUGGCCGACAGGCCCGGGUAACCCGUUGAACCUCCUUCGUGCUAGGGAUUGGGGCUUGCAAUUGUUCCCCAUGAACGAGGAAUUCCCAGUAAGCGCGAGUCAUAAGCUCGCGUUGAUUACGUCCCUGCCCUUUGUACACACCGCCCGUCGCUACUACCGAUUGAAUGAUUUAGUGAGGUCUUCGGACUGGUGCGCGGCGAUCGGUUCCACCGGCCGCCGAUGUUGCCGGAAAGAUGACCAAACUUGAUCAUUUAGAGGAAGUAAAAGU